AAAACAAUCGUGUAAUGGAAAGCAUAUGUACUUUGGUGUAUUCUGCAAUACUCUGUAACACUUGUAUGUAAGCAGAUAUAAAAUAGUAGGUAAUAGGAAUUUUGCUGACUGCUUCAAA